GGAGAGGUGGCCGAGUGGUUGAAGGCUCCAGUCUUGAAAACUGGCGUGGUUUUUACAACUACCGAGGGUUCGAAUCCCUCCUUCUCCG
rnacentral:tRNA from 1 species